UACGUAGGGUGCAAGCGUUGUCCGGAAUUAUUGGGCGUAAAGAGCUCGUAGGCGGUUCGUCGCGUCGGCUGUGAAAUCCCGAGGCUCAACCUCGGGUCUGCAGUCGAUACGGGCAGACUAGAGUUCGGUAGGGGAGUCUGGAAUUCCUGGUGUAGCGGUGGAAUGCGCAGAUAUCAGGAGGAACACCGAUGGCGAAGGCAGGUCUCUGGGCCAUUACUGACACUGAGAAGCGAAAGCAUGGGGAGCGAACAGGAUUGAGAAAC
rnacentral:rRNA from 1 species